GAUGAACGCUGGCGGCGUGCCUAAUACAUGCAAGUCGAGCGAACGGACGAGAAGCUUGCUUCUCUGAUGUUAGCGGCGGACGGGUGAGUAACACGUGGAUAACCUACCUAUAAGACUGGGAUAACUUCGGGAAACCGGAGCUAAUACCGGAUGAUAUUUUGAACCGCAUGGUUCAAAAGUGAAAGACGGUCUUGCUGUCACUUAUAGAUGGAUCCGCGCUGCAUUAGCUAGUUGGUAAGGUAACGGCUUACCAAGGCAACGAUGCAUAGCCGACCUGAGAGGGUGAUCGGCCACACUGGAACUGAGACACGGUCCAGACUCCUACGGGAGGCAGCAGUAGGGAAUCUGCCGCAAUGGGCGAAAGCCUGACGGAGCAACGCCGCGUGAGUGAUGAAGGUCUUCGGAUCGUAAAACUCUGUUAUUAGGGAAGAACAUAUGUGUAAGUAACUGUGCACAUCUUGACGGGACCUAAUCAGAAAGCCACGGCUAACUACGU
rnacentral:rRNA from 1 species